rnacentral:rRNA from 1 species
AGUUAUCUGAACCUUCGGGGAACGAUAACGGCGUCGAGCGGCGGACGGGUGAGUAAUGCCUAGGAAAUUGCCCUGAUGUGGGGGAUAACCAUUGGAAACGAUGGCUAAUACCGCAUGAUGCCUACGGGCCAAAGAGGGGGACCUUCGGGCCUCUCGCGUCAGGAUAUGCCUAGGUGGGAUUAGCUAGUUGGUGAGGUAAGGGCUCACCAAGGCGACGAUCCCUAGCUGGUCUGAGAGGAUGAUCAGCCACACUGGAACUGAGACACGGUCCAGACUCCUACGGGAGGCAGCAGUGGGGAAUAUUGCACAAUGGGCGCAAGCCUGAUGCAGCCAUGCCGCGUGUGUGAAGAAGGCCUUCGGGUUGUAAAGCACUUUCAGUCGUGAGGAAGGUAGUGUAGUUAAUAGCUGCAUUAUUUGACGUUAGCGACAGAAGAAGCACCGGCUAACUCCGUGCCAGCAGCCGCGGUAAUACGGAGGGUGCGAGCGUUAAUCGGAAUUACUGGGCGUAAAGCGCAUGCAGGUGGUUUGUUAAGUCAGAUGUGAAAGCCCGGGGCUCAACCUCGGAAUAGCAUUUGAAACUGGCAGACUAGAGUACUGUAGAGGGGGGUAGAAUUUCAGGUGUAGCGGUGAAAU